UGCCAUUUUAGGACAGGGAGGAAAUAGUAAACAGGCAACUUUGCAGUGAUGCCUGUCUUAAGGAAUUACCCAUGAUGCAGACAUGAUGCAGACAAGUUAGAGCAUGUUUCAAGGGCUACAGAUCGGGAGGGACUUUUCCAGCCCUGACCUAACGUCCAUAGCUACUUCAGAUGACCGUGUGCCCUAGCUGUGUUAAGACACCAACGCUCAAUGUCUGUUAGUGGACUGUCUUUACAGCGAUAGAGCAAUCAUGUUGUUAAACCAUGGAGAAUAUUCUGAUAACAUUCGGAAGGGUGUGGUUCCUUAGCCAUCUGUUCAACAGGCUAGGAUAAUAAACUUAUACAUUUGUGUGUAAGCAAAUGCUUCUUAA